GUGGGGAAUUUUGGACAAUGGGCGCAAGCCUGAUCCAGCAAUGCCGCGUGCAGGAAGAAGGCCUUCGGGUUGUAAACUGCUUUUGUACGGAACGAAACGGUCCUGGUUAAUACCUGGGGCUAAUGACGGUACCGUAAGAAUAAGCACCGGCUAACUACGUGCCAGCAGCCGCGGUAAUACGUAGGGUGCGAGCGUUAAUCGGAAUUACUGGGCGUAAAGCGUGCGCAGGCGGUGCUGUAAGACAGGCGUGAAAUCCCCGGGCUGAACCUGGGAAUUGCGCUUGUGACUGCAGUGCUGGAGUACGGCAGAGGGGGAUGGAAUUCCGCGUGUAGCAGUGAAAUGCGUAGAUAUGCGGAGGAACACCGAUGGCGAAGGCAGUCCCCUGGGCCUGUACUGACGCUCAUGCACGAAAGCGUGGGGAGCAAACAGGAUUAGAUACCCGAGUAGUCC
rnacentral:rRNA from 1 species